CAGUCGCCGCGGGAAUACGAAGGGUGCAAGCGUUAAUCGGAAUUACUGGGCGUAAAGCGUGCGUAGGCGGUUUGUUAAGUCUGCUGUGAAAUCCCCGGGCUCAACCUGGGAAUGGCAGUGGAUACUGGCAAGCUAGAGUGUGUCAGAGGAUGGUGGAAUUCCCGGUGUAGCGGUGAAAUGCGUAGAGAUCGGGAGGAACAUCAGUGGCGAAGGCGGCCAUCUGGGACAACACUGACGCUGAGGCACGAAAGCGUGGGGAGCAAACAGGAUUAGAUACCCCAGUAGUCCCUGUCACUUAUCC
rnacentral:rRNA from 1 species